CACUGGUCGAGUGACUCUGCGCCGAAAAUUUAACGGGGCUAAACUAUACACCGAAGCUUGGGAUACAUCUAAUGUAUGGUAGGAGAGCGUUCUGUAUGGGGAGAAGUCGUAGCGAAAGCGGCGGUGGACUAUACAGAAGUGAGAAUGCCGGAAUAAGUAGCGAGAAUUAAGUGAGAAUCUUAAUGGCCGAAAGUCUAAGGUUUUUGGAGGAAGGUUCGUCCGCUCCAAGUAAGUCGGGAGCUAAGGUCAGGCCGAAAGGCGUAGCCGAUGCACAUACGGUUGAUAUUCCGUAACCAUCUGUAAUUUAAGCAAAGGGACACUUCAAAAGGGUGUGACCCGGGCGUUGGUUGACCCGGGCGUAAGGGACCGAAAUUAGAGUAGGGAAGCACACUUGGCUGAAGGCGAGAAAAGCUUUGCGUAUAGAAGCAGAUGCCCGUACCGCAAACCGACACAGGUGGACAGGAAGAGAAUUCUAAGGCCAGCGGGAGAAGGGUAGUUAAGGAACUCGGCAAAUUGACUCCGUAACUUCGGAAUAAGGAGUGCUCGAAAGAGCCGCAGAGAAUAGGCCCAGGCGACUGUUUAGCAAAAACACAGGUCUCUGCCAAAUCGAAAGAUGAAGUAUAGGGGCUGACACCUGCCCGGUGCCGGAAGGUUAAGAGGAGGAGUGAGAGCUCCGAAUUGAAGCCCCGGUAAACGGCGGCCGUAACUAUAACGGUCCUAAGGUAGCGAAAUUCCUUGUCGGGUAAGUUCCGACCCGCACGAAUGGUGUAACGAUCUGGGCACUGUCUCAACUACCCACCCGGCGAAAUUGUAGUACCGGUGAAGAUGCCGGUUACCUGCGGCAAGACGGAAAGACCCCAUGGAGCUUUACUGUAGCCUGAUAUUGGGUUUCGGAAAUCUAUGUACAGGAUAGGCGGGAGACUGGGAAACAUGAGCGUCAGCUUGUGUGGAGUCGAUGUUGGGAUACCGCCCUUAGGUUUCUGGAAUUCUAACCUGCGGCCGUGAAUCCGGUCGGGGGACAUUGUCAGGUGGGCAGUUUGACUGGGGCGGUCGCCUCCGAAAAGGUAACGGAGGCGCUCAAAGGUUAGCUCAGCACGGACGGAAACCGUGCCUCUGAGUGUAAACGCAAAAGCUAGCCUAACUGCGAGGGUGACGGCCCGAGCAGUAACGAAAGUUGGAGUUAGUGAUCCGGCGGUAUGAG
rnacentral:rRNA from 1 species